AACCAUAGAAACCUGCGGAGUACCUGCGGAAGGAUCAUUACCGAGUUUACAACUCCCAAACCCCUGUGAACAUACCAAUUGUUGCCUCGGCGGGUCAGCCCGCUCCCGGUAAAACGGGACGGCCCGCCAGAGGACCCCUAAACUCUGUUUCUAUAUGUAACUUCUGAGUAAAACCAUAAAUAAAUCAAAACUUUUAACAAUGGAUCU
rnacentral:misc_RNA from 1 species